rnacentral:misc_RNA from 1 species
UAAUAAGUGUUUUAUGGCACUUUUUAAAUCCAUAUCCACCUUGUGUGCAAUGUCAGUCGAUCUUCUUCAUGGAGAUCGACCAAACAUCAACCUUUAUUUUAACUCUUUGUCUGAAAAAUAUUAUGAAUAAACAAUUCCAAAUA